UUUUUGCGUUAGGGAUAGUAGUGAAAAUCCUUUUUGUUUUUCGCAAAAAGAUUGUAAUGGAUAGCCCGACCCAUC
rnacentral:sRNA from 1 species